rnacentral:rRNA from 1 species
AUACGGAGGGCGCAAGCGUUGUUCGGAAUUACUGGGCGUAAAGCGCGUGUAGGCGGUUCGGCAAGUCGGGUGUGAAAGCCCAGGGCUCAACCCUGGAAUUGCAUUCGAAACUGCCGGGCUAGAGUCCCGGAGAGGAAGGCAGAAUUCCCAGUGUAGGGGUGAAAUCCGUAGAUAUUGGGAGGAAUACCAGCGGCGAAGGCGGCCUUCUGGACGGUGACUGACGCUGAGACGCGAAAGCUAGGGGAGCAAACAGGAUUAGAAACCCCUGUAGUCC